CUUUCUUUGCUGGCGACCGGCGCACGGGUGAGUAACACGUAUCCAACCUGCCCUUUACUCGGGGAUAGCCUUUCGAAAGAAAGAUUAAUACCCGAUAGCAUAAUGAUUCCGCAUGGUUUCAUUAUUAAAGGAUUCCGGUAAAGGAUGGGGAUGCGUUCCAUUAGGUUGUUGGUGAGGUAACGGCUCACCAAGCCUUCGAUGGAUAGGGGUUCUGAGAGGAAGGUCCCCCACAUUGGGACUGAGACACGGUCCAA
rnacentral:rRNA from 1 species